rfam:Schistosoma margrebowiei strain Zambia genome assembly, scaffold: SMRZ_contig0002972
AGUUUCUAAAUCUGUGCCGGGAUUUCGUCAUGUACCAGGUCAUCAGGACUGAUGAGACUUUCAAGAUAAGUGAGGCA